GAUGAACGCUGGCGGCGUGCCUAAUACAUGCAAGUCGAGCGAACGGACGAGAAGCUUGCUUCUCUGAUGUUAGCGGCGGACGGGUGAGUAACACGUGGAUAACCUACCUAUAAGACUGGGAUAACUUCGGGAAACCGUAGCUAAUACCGGAUAAUAUUUUGAACCGCAUGGUUCAAAAGUGAAAGACGGUCUUGCUGUCACUUAUAGAUGGAUCCGCGCUGCAUUAGCUAGUUGGUAAGGUAACGGCUUACCAAGGCAACGAUGCAUAGCCGACCUGAGAGGGUGAUCGGCCACACUGGAACUGAGACACGGUCCAGACUCCUACGGGAGGCAGCAGUAGGGAAUCUUCCGCAAUGGGCGAAAGCCUGACGGAGCAACGCCGCGUGAGUGAUGAAGGUCUUCGGAUCGUAAAACUCUGUUAUUAGGGAAGAACAUAUGUGUAAGUAACUGUGCACAUCUUGACGGUACCUAAUCAGAAAUCCACGGCUAACUACGUG
rnacentral:rRNA from 1 species